ensembl:lncRNA
GCUGGCGGCGCGGCUCCGCUUCCCCCCUCGCGAGCCGGUGCCCUGGCCGGAGCGCGCUGGGCCGGACUGCUCUCUGUCUGCUCUCUUACAGCCAUUUUCCAGAUCAUUCAGAGUAUCAGGAUGGGCAUGUGAAGCAGCUCAUCGCAAAGCAAGACGUCUGCAUCCUCCUGAGAAUUGCAAUGAACUCUUCCCCGUGGUCGAUACCCUGAUCAAUCUUAAUUCAUUAUAACAGUUGCUCGAGAACAAUGUUCCGCAUUGGCCAUAUGUCAUUCCAGGUCCCUUCACAAGUCAUUCCGAGUUUUCUAGUCCAUACCACAGUGCCUUGAAAAGCACCACAUGUAUAAAGCAAUAAAAUUCUAUUGUUGAUCUACAAUCGUGGACCUACUUAUUCAGUAAAGCAUACAUUCAUGUUUUAUGUAGAUAUGUUAAACUGUAUGCAAUGUAGAUACUUAGGAAUUGACAUCUGUUGUAAACACCAGUCUUAAGAUCUGUUUAAGCCUCUGUAUAGCUGGAAAUGGUUUUAUUUAAAGUUGGAAGCUAGGAUUUUUAUAGUAGCUGGAGUACAAAUUUAAAGCAUGCUCAUAAUGAAGCAGUUGGGCUGUGCAGCUUUCUGUUGCUUAUCUAAGUAGAUCAUCAUCUCUGUAUAUGUAGCCUAGUCUUACUGCAGCAUGUGGCCAUGCAUUAGCACUCGCAUGCUUAUCAUGACUGAAAACUUUAUCCUAUACCUCUUGCAAAGCUGUCCUAAUAAAUACAAAGUGCUUGUUUGUAUAGCUUUAGUGGGUGUUACUUAAUUAGACACCAGCAUGACCAAGCAACAACUGUUUCUGACAUAACCUGAUGCUAAAGUUUCACAAACUGUUCAGCAACUAGGGCAAGAGCUGCUAUUGACAUACUAAACUUCUCCUGGCAGCAGGCUGUAACUGUGCUGUAAAUACUUCUUGAGCAACUUUCAAACAAAUCUUAGUUUUAAAUUUUAAAUAUUGUACGGGGAUGUUUCCUGCAGAUACCCUGCCCCUCCUACCCACUGUUCUACUUCUGUGUGCAACAUCUGCAGUUUAUGCAGAGCCUCUUGGCAGUAGGAACCUCCCAGCUGUUGCAGGGUCUGUGCCCGCGCAGCGGAGCCUCGGGCUGCGGGGAACGUGUGACCAAAGCAACGCGGCGCUACUCCCGCAAGGAGGGGACAGGCCGCGUCUCCGAGCAGGAGUUUGGUGGAUGAUGGCUUGUCCGUGUUGCUGUUCUCCGUUUCCUCAGGCAGCAGCAGGGGCCUGGGAGGUCUGGCUGGAUCUUACCCCUGCAAGAAGCUUUUACUCUCACAGUACAGUGAAAACUGCGCUUUACACAACUUCAGGGUGGAUUUUGGUGACCUAGCAGUUCUCAGCAUUUUAUAGCACAGUUUGAUUAAAGAAAAAUCUUCUACAAAACUUGGGCUACUUUAGUGCAAAUACUGUCUAUGCUGACAUUUCUGAUGCUUUGUCUAUUUAGUAGCUCAGACAUGCUUUUCCCCCCAUUAACAUCACUGGAUACCGCAGAACAGCAGCGUGUUGCUAGUCACGUGUAAACAGAUGUGCAGUGACCCUGCGCUUUGUUGUAGUUACAUCAUGAACAACAAUCCGUGUCUGAUGGACGAGGUUCCAAGCCUGAUAAUGACAUUUAUCAAAUAAUUACAUUCCGG